rnacentral:rRNA from 1 species
CUGUGUAGAGGUUAGAGGUGGGAGCGGCAACUUGGUGCUGUGGGUUGGAGUUGUGUCGUUUGGGAGCCGCUGGAAGGAGUACGGAGGUCGGUUUCGGUUCUUUGAGGCCGCCCGGCGCCGGCGCCGGCGGGGGGGUCUCUCUAGGGGCCGCGGGGGAGGCAGGCACCGCCUCUGGGGAGGGCGCCGGCGGAGGGGUCUCUCUAGGGGCCGCGGGGGAGGCCGACACCGCCUCUGGGGAGGGCGCCGGCGGGGCGGUCUCUGGAGAGGCCGCGGGGGAGGCCAACGCCGCCUCUGGUGAGGGCGACGGCGGGGCGGUCUCUGGAGAGGCCGCGGGGGAGGCCAACACCGCCGCUGGGGAGGGCUCAGCAGCCUCCGAUCACAAUGCCAACGCCUCCUACCACCGCCCUUGCUGUUCUACCGCCACCUCCUAGAGCCACUCCACCUCGCACUCCUCCGGUGGCCCCGCCUCAGGCAUCUCCUCCUUGGGCUGCUCCUCCUCGGGCUCCUCCUCCUGGGUCUCCUCAGCCUCCUCCUGGGACUACGCCUCCUACUAGGACUCCUGCACCUCCUCCUAGGACUCCUGCACCUCCUCCUAGGACUCCUGCGUCUCCUCCUUCGGCUACGUCAGCUCCUACUACUCCUCCUAUGCCACGACCGCCGACCCGGCCUCUUCUGCCACUGACACCUCCCGCCACUACUCCUCUUUCGCUACCACUGGCAUAGGUUCCUCCCGCCGCCACUUCAAUGUCCCAAUCUCAGACGGUACCAUCUCCUCGGGCUCCUCCGACGAUUACACCUGCGUUACCUUCUCCUACGAUGUCUCCAGGGCCCUCUACCGCGGCGUGGUCUACUGUACUUACUUGAUAGACUUCUUCUUGUACUUCUUAGACCCGUACUUCCAUGUGUACCCUUAUUGCUUCUCCUACCACAACGGACGGUCAACUCACAGGUAAGACUCCGCGUCUUACCACUUGAACUGAGGAGUAACGGAUGUGAUCCAAGUCAAAGUCACCCGUUAUGAUUUCUGAACGUUCAUAAAGAAGUACCUAACGGAUUCCUAACACGACUCUUUCUGUAAUGUCUCCAGAAAAGAGUUAAGCCUCUCUAACUCAGAUAAUUUUGUUAAUCUUUUUUCUUGCCGUAACGUAAACAAGCAAUAUACUCGUGACUUCGACGUUUCUUCCGAGAACGGCUUAAAUUCCUCCCUCGACUCCACUGUCCCCCUUCCCAAUUUCAUAAUCGAAGAUCUCCACUAUUAUGGGAAAUGGAAUCGUUGUAGACGUUCUCGACCUGUUUUCUCGUCCACGCUUGAAGGAACUCUUCAUAGCCUUAGCUACCUAAACUAUACUCAAAUGGGCAACUAGGACUUUGACCUCCUGUUUUGGCUCCCUAAUGAAAAGAGUUUAAACGAAGCGGACUGUUGCGGUUUCGACGUAGAGUCGACGAUGUCGUUGGCCUACGUAACUAAUGGUAACAAUUUUCACACUUCCUUAGACGAGUUUAGGGAUGUCUUAGUUCAGUCCUCGAACGAUACGACGUCCAAUUUUGUCAUAUGGAGCUUGUACAAGGAGAAAGAACCCUAUUCCCGUUUCAAUUUCUUACAACGUUUCGUAUACCCCACUAAGACCUACAAGUGUAAAAUUUCUUCAGUUUUUGCUUUUGAAGAAAACAGCUUAAGAGUAGGUCCUUCUCACGUAAUCGAACACACCUUCCUUAUUUGUCACGGUUAUAACCACCACUUCAAUUCGACCGACGUUCAGAACGAGCUGGUGCAGCCCUUUACGUUGACCUGUUCUUCUCACGAUUUCCACCCCAGUUCCAGUUAUCACUACGUUGAAGAUUUCUGUGGUUGUUAAGAUAAUUCUUUUUCUUGGUCUUAUCCCUCCAGUCUCACUUCUUCCUAAGUGGUGUAUUUAACGCUUUUCCACUACACUCGUUCGACUGGAGUGUACAACUACGCCUUCAUGGUGUUAGUAGGUUGGGUAGAUUUCCGUUUGCCUUUCGACCUUUCUGACUUUUAUGGCGACAUUUACUUUCCCGUGGCUUCUCCCGUGCCUUCUUAGCACCACAAGACUGUUUUGGAAGGUUGUCUUGUAGAGUACCACCAAUACGAUCUCAAGGGAUACGUCCUCUUAGAAGACCUUUGUAAUUUGCGGGACACCCUGGAGCUAUACAUUGACCGUUGGUUAGAAUGGGGUAACGCCCGCGUAGAAGGUCUAGAUUUGGUUUACGAGCACUGGACCUUGGAGUACGACCUAUGUAGGGAGGAUGUUUGGCACAAGCACGUGGACGUUUAGUACAAGGUCAGUGGAUACACAUACUAGUAGGCUCUUCACGUGGUAGGUGAUAGGUAGUGUAACUGCCAGAAGGAAUACGAUCUCUUCAUCGUCGAGGUGGUGGUCGGAUACCCAUGUGUUCGUUAGGAGUUAUGGUCCUACCUAUACGUAUGCGGAUGGAGGGGGGCGGAGUAGGUUCACAUAGAAUGGUGAUGGGUCCUUGGCCGCGUAUAUCGGGAGCUUCCUCUAUGAUGACU